rnacentral:lncRNA from 1 species
GCUUGUCUACCUGAAAGGUUGGGCAAAGGUCAGCAAGUUUGUUUGGACCCAAGAAAGUCCUGGGGUCCCAGGAGAGUUCAGAUAAUCUGGGCUUGAGGUAAAAACAGAGUUUUGCUUUUGAGAAAUGCCUGGAACCUUCCUUAUGAUGUGGAUGAAAGGAGCCUCGGGGAUCUGGGCAAAUGAACUCUGAAGAUGAAGUCACUGAAGCUAAUAGAAAAGAGGUGAAUUGCCCAAGGGCACGUAAUAAUGCACAGAGAGGAGAUUCAAACUCAGUUUCCCUGACUGCAAAUCCAGGACAACCGUGCAUGAUUCUGAAGGAUGCUGACUUCCUGGCCAUUGGGAGAAGAGUUUGGUUUCCUUGCACAGUUGGCCACAUCAAAUUAUUUGGAGGCUAUGGUGUGAACAGAGAUGUGGCAAAGUUUGGGGAGAAACAAUGUGAUGUCUAUUGAAGGAGCACCGGACUUUGAUUAAAUGUUCCUUAUGUUCAAAUCCCAGCUCUCUUGCAUAUUAUAUGGAUGGUUCCAUUUAAAUCAAUUCACCUGUCUAAGCUUCAGUUUCUUUCCCUAUAAAGUGAUAAUAAUAAUAGCUGUAGGACCUACCUCUGAAGGUUGUAGGUUAACCUGAAAACACUAUAGAGAGGUCAGGUAUUCAUAUUAUAGCACAUUAUACUAUACUAAUGAAAUUGCUAUGGAUAAUUCUGUAUAUUUAUAUAUUGUAUAUAUUGAAAUGAUGCAUUUUAUAUGAUUGUAUUUGUCUUUUUGCCUUUUAUUAGACUAUAGAUUGAACUGACUCACUUCUAUAAACUUACUGUGUGACUCUCAAUGCUCCAGGUACCUCUCUAAGAAUAUAAAUUGCAGAAGAAAUGUCAGCUGGCAUAGGGAGGAGGAACUAAUCACACCAAUGAAAUCAGGUUUGACCAAAACAACAACAAAAAAACUCCCCAAAUUCCAUAAAAACAUGGAAUAUAGCUUGUCUAAAAUUUUAUCUCUCUGUGGCUAGCAGCUCUAUCCCAGUAGGUUCCUGUUUAAUGUUUGUUGAAAGAAUAAAUGGUUGGAUAAUACUAUGCUUUAAGAAAUA